rnacentral:misc_RNA from 1 species
GUCUUAGGAAGCAGAGGGGAUCAAGCUUUUCCUUUCUUUUCUUCCCUUCUAUUCUCUCUUCGAUCUUUUCCCUCACGGAAACUGCUGCUAAGGUUCCAUACGGUAUCUUUAUUUUUAUUUUACACUUGGUGAUUUCUGUACGUGGGUUUGCGUCUUUUCUGUGUUUUAGCUUCUGGGUUAGUCUACUUUGUCGACAAUAAAGAAUUUUGUUCUUCGGUGUGCUGGUUUUGUGGGGUUUUUUAGAGUGUUUCUGAGAGGAAGAAUGGCAAAUGGAGAAGAUAAAAGCAAAAGUAAAGACUAUUAUCAAGUUUUGGGAUUGAACAAGGAAUGCACUGCAACAGAGCUCAGGAA